AAAAUAAAACUACACAGAGUUUCGAGCGAACAGAGAAACGUGGCUUUUGGAGCUGAUUCCGUGUUAUUCAAGCGUUUUCAAAGCUUCAAAUUCUCAAGUUAGUGGGCUAAGAUGCUUAUUUUAAAGUUGUGCAAAGAAAUUUUAGGUUAUAUGGUUAGAGGUUGAUGAAUUCAAGCUGGGAAAAGUUCUGAAACUUCUCGCCAAAAACAGGGGGUAUCAAGGAAUAUUUGACCGAUUUCAGAAGAUUUAGGGCGAUUCGAGACUCCAAAAUGUGAGGUAGUGGUCAUCUCCCCAGAGGUUAGCUGCCAUAUUGCUCUGCCACUCAAGGACUCCAGUUAAAAGUCCAAAGUCUAAAGAGAAGUUUUAGGUGUUUAUUCUGUAAAUGUCUGUACAUAUAUGUUGCUCAUAUCAGGGACUAGUAAAGUAUGUUGGGGCCCAUUGAAUUCUAUACCUGUUAAUAUGAUGUAGUUAUGUUGUUGUUGAUUCCUAUAUUUAAUAUGUAGGUCUAUAUCAAUGAUAUGAUCUCAUUAAACUAUAUCACUGAUAUGAUCUCAUUAAACUA